UACGUAGGUGGCAAGCGUUAUCCGGAUUUAUUGGGCGUAAAGGGAACGCAGGCGGUCUUUUAAGUCUGAUGUGAAAGCCUUCGGCUUAACCGGAGUAGUGCAUUGGAAACUGGGAGACUUGAGUGCAGAAGAGGAGAGUGGAACUCCAUGUGUAGCGGUGAAAUGCGUAGAUAUCACGAAGAACUCCGAUUGCGAAGGCAGCUUACCAGUCUGCGACUGACGCUCAGGCACGAAAGUGUGGGUAUCGAACAGG
rnacentral:rRNA from 1 species